rnacentral:misc_RNA from 1 species
AACGCAUAUUGCGCCCUUUGGUAUUCCGAAGGGCAUGCCUGUUCGAGCGUCAUUAUCAACCAUCAAGCCUAGCUUGUCGUUGGACCCUCUUUACGGUUGAAAUAUACUGUAGGUCCGAAAGAUAAUGACGGUGUCUUGUUUGACCCUAAAUGCAACGAGCUUUUUAUAGCACGCAUUGAAGUGGUCGAACCGGCCCCGGUCUUAACCAUUAUUUUCUUAAGGUUGACCUCGGAUCAGGUAGGAAUACCCGCUGAACUUAA